rnacentral:tRNA from 1 species
GCCCGGAUGGUCUAGUGGUAUGAUUCUCGCUUUGGGUCAUGUGACUAAAAUGCGAGAGGUCCCGCGUUCAAUCCGCGGUUCGGGCC